UCUCUGGUAGUAUAUCGGUUAGUACACGCGCCUGUCAUGCAUUGGUGGUCGCGCGAAAGCGGGGUUCGACUCCCCGCCAGAGAG